rnacentral:rRNA from 1 species
AACGCGAAGAACCUUACUUGGUCUUGACAUCCACGGAAGUUUUCAGAGAUGAGAAUGUGCCUUCGGGAACCGUGAGACAGGUGCUGCAUGACUGUCGUCAGCUCGUGUCGUGAGAUGUUGGGUUAAGUCCCGUAACGAGCGCAACCCUUAUCCUUUGUUGCCAGCGGUCCGGCCGGGAACUCAAAGGAGACUGCCAGUGAUAAACUGGAGGAAGGUGGGGAUGACGUCAAGUCAUCAUGGCCCUUACGACCAGGGCUACACACGUGCUACAAUGGCGCAUACGAAGAGAAGCGACCUCGCGAGAGCAAGCGGACCUCAUAAAGUGCGUCGUAGUCCGGACUGGAGUCUGCAACUCGACUCCAUGAAGUCGGAAUCGCUAGUAAUCGUGGAUCAGAAUGCCACGGUGAAUACGUUCCCGGGCCUUGUACACACCGCCCGUCACACCAUGGGAGUGGGUUGCACCAGAAGUAGCUAGUCUAACCUUCGGGAGGACGGUUACCACGGUGUGAUUCAUGACUGGGGUGAAGUCGUAACAAGGUAACCUUAAUUAAAA